rnacentral:lncRNA from 10 species
AGAAAGGAGGAGGAGGAGAAAGGAGGAGGAGGAGAAAGGAGGAGGAGGAGAAAGGAGGAGGAGGAGAAAGGAGGAGGAGAAAGGAGGAGAGGGAGAGGGAGGGGGAGAAGGGGAAGGAGAGGAAGGAGAGGAAGAAGAGGAAGAAGAAGAAAGUAGUAGUUGAAAUUGUUGUUUUGUAGCAUCUACAACUUAGUCCUGAUGAAAGAGAGCCCAGACUGACGGGCAGCUGGUGUGGGCAGCUCCAUCCCUGAGGCUUUCAGGAAAGAAGCAAGGAUCACAAGAAGCCUACCCAGCUGAACCCAGAAUGGAGGAGAGAGGGUGGAGUAUAACUGGCGGGCAGCCCCACAUUCCCUGGCACAGAAUAAUUCAAGUAGGCUGACAAGGAAAGCCACUCCUUAAUGUCACUCUUCUCUACCCAAAUUCCUUACUUUUACCCUGUUGGCCAGAACCCACUUUCACUUCCAUACUUACCUGCCCUCCUUCCUUUCCUGAAACCCCUUCUUCAGGCCAGUUAUGGUCUCUAUUUUCCCUAGGCUCAUCACGGAAUGUCUCAAGAAGAUCAGAUAGUGGGCAUGGGCUCAGCUUUCUGGAGCGCUCUUGCACGACUUCCUGACCUUCUCUCAAUAGAAAUCUGAGCCAUAGAGCUCUACUGAGUAAAGCAGGGGCCAGGAAAAGCCAAGGUCAAAGACCAUCGCAGGUGGCUUCCCUCUAGCCCAGGAACAGUGCCCUCUCCUAAGCUGCAUGGCUGGGCUCAUAAAAUCUCAUCCCCACCCCAGAAGUAAAGAUCCCAAGGUCAGGUUGAGUCAGCUGAGGAUGAGACAGCCCUGCCACCUUAGAUAUGAAGGCCAGCACCCUGGUCCCCUCACGGUGUGCACGACUGGCUGAAUCAGCCUCAGGAGGCCCUCUGUGAGGGCGGUAUCUAAUUUUGUGCUGUGUUGCAUAUUCAGUGUGUGCUUAGUUUUAAUAACAGUAAUGAAAAUAAAUAGAACCCAGGUCCCCCAGUGCUUGAUCCAGCCCUCUUUUCACCAGAUGGGCUCCUUCUGUCUUGCCUAUAAAAAAUGUCACUAAAAAUAUCUCUCUUUUGAGUCUCUACCUUGCUCCGUAGGAGGUGACCACAUUAGGACAGCCAAGAGGCAAUGUCGUAGCUCAGCCAAUGGCCAGCAUCCUCCCGUGAAGGCUGAGCCUCUUGGGCAUUUUUUGCCUGCCUGUGGGGCACAGUGAGAAGCUGGAAAAUACCUCCCAGGCAUCAAAUGCUAUGAGAUGCUGAGCUCAGAGAGAGCUGUAGCAAAUCCUGGGGCAGAGUGACUCCUCACAAACACCUUCUCCUACAAAAGAGGACACCUACAGUCCCAUCUCACAAGAUGCAUCUCCUGCAGUCUCUGUGGUGAGAAUCCAGGUCCAGGAGGUGUUGCAGCUCCACGCUCACUCAUUCAUCAAAGAACACUUGCCAUGUGCCCCCAGUGUGCUGGGCAUGGCCAACUGGGCAUGAGAGACCCAUCCCAGGAAGCUUCAGGAAGGGCUGCUGAAGAAAGGAAAGGGUGGAAGGAGCCACUAACCAGGCUAGGUAGAGCCAGCAAAAUCGACCUGCACAGUCCACGCAGGACCACCUUCAUGACCACAUGCCUGGACCUCCACCCCUGCCACCUUUUCUUACCUUGGGGGCACUGUGAACAGGUUCUCACUAGGAGCACACACCAGCACUGCACAGGGCCCACUCCACCCUCCAAACCCCGGGCUGAGAAGGAGGCUGUAGGGGGAGACAAGAUUCUAUGGCUCUGCACGCCUGUCAGCAGGUGAAACCCAAGGAAACACCUGACAGGGAGCCCUGAGACCUUCAACACCUGGCCACGCUGAAGUGCUGGGAGCAGGCACCGGAGAAGAGCUGGGAGAGCCAAGAGAAGAUCAGAGUGUAUCUGCUAAAAAGGUGGGCCCCAUCCAAUCAGUUGAAGUCCUGACUGGAACAAAAGACUGACCUCCCUUGAGAAAGUGGGAAUUCUGCCAGCAGACAGCCUUCAGACUUGAACUGCAAUGUUGCCUCCUCCCUGGGUCUCCAGCCUGCCAGCCAACCCUGCAGAUUUUCGACUUGCCAGCCUCCAUAAUCGUUCUUGUCAAUGAGGUCGGCCAGCAGCUGCUUCAGCACAUCAGUGGCGUACUCCAGCUUGCUCUGCAGCACGGUCAUGAUGAGUGAGGCCACGUUGCCACGGUCGCGCAUGGAGAAGCUACGCUGGGACUCAAGCGUGCGGAUGAAGGACAGCAGGAACACCUUGUUGUUGAUGAGCUGGGCGAAGAGCUUCAGGCCUUUCUCCACACGCUCCUGCCGGUAGCCCGGGACCUGCAGAGAGACCUAGGAGUCGUGAUGCCAUUGGCAGCCCUAGGGGUGCUGUUGAUACACCAGUGGCCUCGGAGUCAGGACAUCUGGGUUCCACGUGGAUUCUGAUACCACCUUGCUGGGUAACUCUGGGGACUCUCUCUAAGACCCUGCUCUAUGCAGGGGAAGAGGAAGAAGAUGGUCUUAUCUUUCUGCCUCCAUUGUCUGUUCAUUGGGAGAUCUCUGCAAGGGUGUACCAUUCACUCAGCAAACACGAGUCAAUGACUCAGGUUGGUACAUGACCAGUGCCUGGGAAGCACCUUUCUUGAAGGCCUGGACUUAACCCAGAGAGCCCCACUUGAGGGGGCUGGGUGACCUCCCCUCCAGGACAGCCUGAAGCAAGAGGACACCUCCUUCUUCACACUUCCAGAGGAAUUUGUAUACUCUCCAGGGCCCUAAGAGAAUCCUGGUAAUUUGAAGCAAACGAAGCCUGAAGGUGGGACCAGGAUUAGCACCUAUGUCUACCAGAAGUGAGAAGAGUAGCCUGGCACCCCCAGCAGUCACUGCAGCAUAGGGACAUGGCCUCCAGCACAGUGCCUGUCCUUGAACUGGGAAAGGUGGGUUCUUGUUGUUAGGAGCUUGGCCUCCAGGCUGGGUUUGGCACA